rnacentral:misc_RNA from 1 species
UGUCCGUAGGUGAACCUGCGGAAGGAUCAUUAUUGGAUUCUGAAACUUCAGGCUGCUGCUGGCUCUCCUCGUAGGGCAUGUGCACGCUUGUUGUCCAUUAUUUCUCCCACUGUGCACAAAUUGUAGACCUUUCAGUAGGACUAUGUUGUUUUUCACAAACUCUGAAUGUAAUAGAAUGGUUUUGAAUCUUGGGAAAUACAAUACAACUUUCAGCAACGGAUCUCUUGGCUCUC